AUGGCGUACACGAAGUUGAGUGAGCUAACCACAAGAGGACAGGCAUGUAAUAUUAAAGCCAAAGUAAUGAGAAUGUGGGACUCGAUCAAUCCUUCGACUGAUGAACUUAUAAGCAUCGAUAUGAUCUUGAUGGAUGAGCAGGGCCAUACAGUUCAUGCUACUAUUUGGAAGAAUCUAAUAGACACUUACAGAGCAAAGAUCAAUGAGGGUUCUAUAUAUGCUUUUAGCAAUUUUAAAGUUGUAGAUUCGACAAAAUAUCGACCAGUCAGCAAUGAAAUUAAAAUUACUUUUUUAUACAAUACAAAAUUAAAGGAGAUGAAAGGUUCAUCGGAUGAUUUUCCAGAUUACUACUUUGAGUUUGCUAGCAAAGAUACCCUACAAGAACGUCUAGAAAAAGACCAACAAUGCUCAGAUGUCAUUGGGUUACUUACCAAGAUUAAGCCAAUAGAAUCAAGGAUAACCAAGAAGAAAACACCUGCAGAUUGUCUAUUAUGGAAACGCACGCAAAUUUAACUGUGCCUUCUAAACUGUGACGGAGGAGUAUCAUUAUGGGGAAGAUUAGCUCAUCAUUUAAGUGAGGAUGUAAUUGGCAAUCAAACAAUUAUUAUUGUUACCUCAACAAUGGUGCAAAAAUUCAAUGGUUUGUGCCUAAAGUCAACUAGCGCCACAAGAUUAUAUACGAAUCUAGAUAUACCCGAGACUUGGGAACUUUGUGGCAGCCACUCCACCAAAGAAACUUUACCAAAAAUGAUGGAGAUAGAUAAAAGUACUCAAGGGACACUAGAAGAUCAAAUGUUUUAGAGAAGGAUAACGUUAAAAGAACUUACUGGAAUUAGGCACGAUAACCCAACAGAUGAGGACUUUGUGUUCACAACAAUAGCUACAAUUGAUCGGUUACAAGAAAAUAUUCAAUGGUGGUAUCGUAUUCGGCUUCAAAUUAGUGAUCGCACUGCUACUACAAGUUGCACUUUAUUUGAUGAAGAGGCUGAAAGAAUGCUCAAUACAUCAGUCUCAUUCCUGUUGGAUUCCUUAGAUGGAAAAUCUGAAGAAGUCCCAAAGAUUAUACAAGAAUUAUGUGGACAAAGACUUAUCUUUUGAUUCAAACUCAACAAUAAGAACCUCACUCUAGGCAUGCAGAACUAUGCAGUAAAGAAAAUAUUUGUGCCUGAUGAGAAGCUUGAGAAGCGAUACUUAGAGGAUAAAGCUAAAGAGGAUUUGAUGGAUGAUGAAGUGGACAACAUGUUAAAACAAGAAACAAAGAAACUGAAUGAGCCAGUCAAAAAGGUGACUGAAUACUUCACUGGACAAGCUUUUCUUUACAUAAAUUCAUAUCUUAAUUCAUCCAUUUAUGUGAUUUUUGCAGGUACAAAUCAGCAAGUGUGA
rnacentral:rRNA from 1 species